rnacentral:misc_RNA from 1 species
CUCGUGGCUCGUGCCUAUGUUUGUGGUGGCAAAUGUUGCUGUCUUUAUUGUUGUCAUGUACAUCAAUGAUUGUCCUAAUCAUUUUCAUUCUCGGUUCCAAGGGAAGUGUGUUGCGAGGUUUCUUGGGAGAUUCUCUUUCGAGCCCUUAAGAGACAAUCCUCUCUUUGGUCCCUCUUCUGCUACGUAACUAGUUUUUCUUUCUUCCUCUGCUUUAAUUUUUCCUUUGUCAAUCUUUUUUUUUAUUUAAUUUUCCUUUUCUAUACUCUUCCUUGAAUGCUGUGAGGAAUUUUUGACUAUUGGUAGAUAUAGUUUUGUUGGUUUUCUAUUUCCGUCGAUGAGUAAGAAUGGCUCCCCUGCUGAUUUUGUACAUUUCAAUACCUGAUUUUCCAUACUGUUAAUGACAAUUUCCAUGGUGGGAUUUAUGAGACAUAUAAAUCUUGUUACUUUGUGUUAGUUUCGUUUGCUUU